GACGAACGCUGGCGGCGUGCUUAACACAUGCAAGUCGAACGGAAAGGCCCUGCUUGCAGGGUACUCGAGUGGCGAACGGGUGAGUAACACGUGGGUGAUCUGCCCUGCACUUCGGGAUAAGCCUGGGAAACUGGAUCUAAUACCGGAUAGGAGCCAUUUUUAGUGUGAUGGUUGGAAAGUUUUUUCGGUGUAGGAUGAGCUCGCGGCCUAUCAGCUUGUUGGUGGGGUAAUGGCCUACCAAGGCGGCGACGGGUAGCCGGCCUGAGAGGGUGGACGGCCACAUUGGGACUGAGAUACGGCCCAGACUCCUACGGGAGGCAGCAGUGGGGAAUAUUGCACAAUGGGCGCAAGCCUGAUGCAGCGACGCCGCGUGGGGGAUGACGGCCUUCGGGUUGUAAACUCCUUUCGCUAGGGACGAAGCUUUUUGUGACGGUACCUAGAUAAGAAGCACCGGCUAACUACGUG
rnacentral:rRNA from 1 species